UCAAGUCUGACGCGCGUUCUCUCUCUCGUACACACGCGAGGGACGGUUCUGAUAUUACAUGGACGGCAAUCGCCAGGGCACACCGAAUAAAUCAAUCAUGGAUAUCCAAGAUGAGCUCGCCGUCGCCGUCCUCCGCCAUGGUCUCCACCGAGAAGGCGCUCCGCGUCGUCCUGAGUAUAUCCCAACGCCUGCCCCUGGUCAUUGUCCGUUGCCAUGAUUCUAGGGCUGGUCUUGGCAGAGGACGUCGGCGCCCCCGAUCCAUUACCACCCUAUCGGGCCUCCGUCAAGUGGUCCAAGAGUGAUAUCUAUUGUGAAUUCUUCAGAGAACCGAGGAGGAGGACGUGUGGUUGCCGCAGCUGUAGUUCCUGAUGAAGUAGAUGGAAUCAAGGAUGUGCUACAAAAAUGGAGUGAUCUUGAUAAAGUUGACCUCAUUCUAACUUGAGGGGCAUUACACCUGAAGCUACAAAGGCUUCAAUAGAGAAAGAAACACCUAGUCUUGUGCUUGUGAUGCUCCAAGAGAGUCUCGAGGUAUCAUCAUCUUUCAUGACAAUUGUCAGUGGAAGUCUCAAAAGAGCAUAUUCUGCAAUGCAUUCCUGCUCCGUAAAUUCUAAUAACAAAAUACUACUACUACUCCCAAAUAUUAUUCCAACUUCAUGAAAAAAGAAUCUCACUCAACAAAUGAUGAUUUUUGUGAUAAUUUCUUUUUUUUCUCUCUCACAAGUUAUGCUGAAACAUUUCUAAUGUUUUGACUACUUUAAUCCGUUCCUUUUAUUUGUUCACAUAAUCUAAAUAUUUCCAAAUUUUUGUGGAAUCACAUAUGGCUGUAAAUGGUUGCUUGACCUCUUAUCCUGAAUUUCUUACUCUAUUUUAUAUAAUAGUUUCACAUUCAUACAUACCUGGUGAAUGCAUAUGUUCUUGGUCACUAUAGAAAGAUAUGUAUGGCUGACGAUGGAACAUGCAACUAAAUUGCAGUUUUGGACAUGUUCACUUUGGACACAUGCUCAUACAUAUCAGAGGAUUGACACUUGUCGUAUUGUACCAGUAAGGUACCGAUGCAAGACCUAGUAUUUGAGUGUAAAACCUUGAUUAUAAUUAUUUAGAAGAUUCAUAUUUUCAUUCUUGGUGUCUUCCCUUUAUUUUGCUAAGUUUAUAUUCUGACCACUAAUCCAAGAGACAAUGCAUUGAUUUCUGCAAGAACAGGUAAUACCAUUUGCAGUGCUCUCUUGGGCUGCAGCUGGGAUCAGAGGAUUGACACUGGUGAUGACAUUGUUCUGAUCCUAUUUUGUUAUUUGCAAAUUUUUCCACUUCAUCACUUUGUAGACCCCAGAUAAAAAGGAGAUAAAGGCUAGAAGCAUCCUCACCAUGUUCAGCAUACUGCAGCGCAACCAGUGGACCAAUGGGGAUAUAGCUUUAAGGCUGCAACUGCUGGUUCAAAAUGCUCAUGUUCUCAUUGACACUUACAAGCAGAUGGACUGCAUAGAAUUUUGCUGCCAUUUCAUGUUGAAGACUGCUAUAGAAGAGCUAAAUCAAGGAUGAUUGUUCACUUGGAGCAAAACAUUGAUGUGUAGGCUGUGUAAUUACUAUCUGUGUGGAGAGAACCUUUACUGUACAGGAACCUUACAUGGUAAAGACAUGUACUUGUGACUGGAGGCCAUUUUUUGGAGGACAACUCGUUGUUGUUAAUGGAAUGGAAAAAUGGUUUGCUGUUGGUGGACCCUUCUUGGGGGGCCUUUCUGUUGCU